CUUCCUUCUUGGCGCACCCCUAUUCUUCACCCUCUAAAUUUUAGGUCACAACAUUAUAACUAUACUAAAACUCAGUUGAGAAACAUUAUUCACCAACAAUGCAUUCACAAAGCCCCUCCAACUGCUUCCAUACCCAGCAUUUUCAUAUUGUUACACAGUGAAUUUAUGAUUUUUCCCUUAAGUGAGUUGUUGGCUGGGAAUCCUUACGCGUGUUUAGUGGGACGUGUGGCACUUUACUCACCUCUUAUUCUCCAACUUUUGCUUCUCUUUGAGUUUUGUUCCACACACAAAACUAAAUCGGCGCUGCUCUCUUCUUCUCUCACAAAACUAAGCCAUCGCCGUUGUUCUUCUUUCUAAAAAAAACACGAUCCUCGACAUUUCUGUCAACAUUCAAGCUUUUGCAUGCACAAAUUCGUUUCGUGUAUAUACAAAUUUUUAAAAUCAGCAAGCGUUAGGACUCGGAUUUCUCACUUCAAUCGAUGAUGGAGGAGUGGAAGAGAUUGGGAGGCAGAUGAGUAAGACUUGUGAUGGUUUCACAUAAAUGAAUGGUCUCACAUCUUCAACCAGAUUACUCCCAGUUUGACAUGUGGUUGUUUUUCAAGUAUAUCGAUCAGUUCAAGUGGUUGUUUUUCAAGUAUAACGAUCAGUUCUCUAGGUGCUUCUAUGUGGAAUACAAGAAAUGUGGGGUUGACGUAUAAUGUCAGGCACUGUUUAUAUGAUAAGUCCAUGUCACCUAACCCUAGGGAGGUACGGCUAAAGGGGGCGCGGCAAGGAGUCUUUAAAUACUUCGUGUGUUUCCUCUCAGAAAGAUAAUGCAAAGGUUGUUCAUUUUAAUUAUCCACUAGGGAAAAGAGAGAAAAACUUUAAGCAUUCUAUAUUGAUCCAAGGGGCUAGCACAUCAAAUUUAUCACUCCAUCAUUCGUUGCUAGAUUUAUCAGUAUAGAUACACUUAAGAGUCUCAACAUUUGGGGAGUUUUAUGUGAUCAAUCAUGAAGAGGAAGAUUGCAAGCAUAUGGAUCAUCCAAUUAAGUGACAUGCAUGUAAAUAGAGUUUAUGAAGCUUCGCUUGAUCACUCACUGAAUUUCGUUUUUUUUUUCAAAUUUUCGUUUUGAUAACAUGAUUUUUUUUAGUGGAUGCGGAAAGAAGAAUUGUUUGGAUCAUUAAUAUCACGUUCAGAUUUUUACGGUUAGUGAAAAUAUUGCUUGGAGUUUAUAAGUCUUUAGAAACUAUAUAACAUUGACUCAUAUUUGUAAACAUUGAAACGUGAUAUCAACGAUAUGAAUCGAACAUUUUUCUGCAUCCGCUAAAAGAUCUCAUUUUAAAAAAAUAAAAUCUAAAAAAUAAAAUCCAGUGAGAAAAAUAGAGCGUAGGGGUUAAAUAAAAAUCUAGAGUUUAUGGAUUAUGAUGUUGAAUUUUAGGGUUGACUUGUUCACAAAUUUGUAAAGCG